rnacentral:lncRNA from 10 species
AGAACGCUUACGCUGGGCCAAAUUCAGCCUGUGCCUCUCCACAGCCAAUCCUGCACUUGCCGGCCCCUAACUCUGUAGCUGCACACAGGGCCUGGGCACUUGAGACCUCAGACUCGCCACCGGCUCCUCAGAGCCCCUGCCCAGGUCACCUGUGUAAGGAGAACACAGUGCCAAUGCAGCACAGCAUAGUGACACCCGGCCUGCCGGGAUUUAGCCCCCACCCUACCUAGCGGUUCUGGAGCUGCCACUGUGACCCAUGCAGGGUCGAGCAUCCCAGCUUCUUGCAGAACUAUUGCUACAGGGCCAUCAGCAUGUGACACUAGGAGACUGUGCCAUGUCAUCCUUAUGUGGGUCUGGGUCACAGCCGCCCAUCUGCUGUGCUCCCUGGCUGCCUCUUUUGUGAAAAAGAAGGUGAGGAGGACCAGCGAGGAGACACGCCCACUCCAGGGGAACACCUCCUCCCACAGAGCCUUGGGAAGCUGAGAGUAGAUGUGUGCCGAUCACCACCACCUGAGGGUUCCAGGACACAGACAUCGUCAUCCCUGUUCUACAGAGGAGGAAAUGGAGCCUCCUAUGCAAAUUACAUUCUUCAUCACACCAUGGCUCUUGAAGGGCGGAGGUCUCACUGGGCUCCCUGUGUCUCAUGUCCUGCACAAGGCCUGGCUCUGAGGAGGGGCUGCACAACCUUCCUGCACAAGAAUAAAGGCGGGACCGAAGCAGUGACUGUGUGAGAGUCCAUGGAAUGCCCAGGACCAGCACUCAGGGCCUUUGUCUUCUUGUCCAAGCACCAGGGAGCAGAUAGGAGCAGCUUCGGCAAGACCCGGCUCAGUUGAAUGAAGUCGAGUGUCUUAGGUCAUGAACAGUACAGAAAGAGCUGUCCCUCUUCAGAUUCGAGCGCUGCGGGGAGGGAGGGUGUGGUGAGGGUCAUCACCUCCUGCUCCACUCCCCUGGCCAGAGCGGACUGGGCAGGGCAGCCCUGCGGAGGGGCCACUGGACAGCAGAGGUCGAGAGCAGCCUCCCUGGGGUUUGUCUGUUCCACUCUCCGGUUUUGUCAAAGAUCAUUUGAAAACUGGUCACAACAAUAUUUCCUGCUUCUUCUCAGCAGCAGUCAAGCACCCUAUCCAUGAUGUUAUAUAUAAUAAAUGGCUUUUGAUUUACUGGCAGGAAAAACAAUAUCACUACCGAUGAAAUCUUAUGCUGUGUUCUUACCAGUUAACAAGGGCAGGGUUGCUUGAUGAAGAAUCAAGUGGUUACAUGUGUUCAUUCACCAAAAGUUUAUUGAAAAACUGCUUGGGUUAUGAUCGGCCCAGGGCUAAGCACACUGAGGUGGCUGGGACACCGUCUUUGAUCUCUGGGAGCUCACAGUCUAGUUCCACUCUUUACUCUGGCCACUGGGUAGUUUAUGGCUGCAAUCUGUAACCCUUAUAAUUGAAAUAUUUGCCCC